rnacentral:rRNA from 1 species
UACGUAGGGUGCAAGCGUUAAUCGGAAUUACUGGGCGUAAAGCGUGCGUAGGUGGUGAGUUAAGUCUGAUGUGAAAUCCCCGGGCUCAACCUGGGAAUGGCAUUGGAUACUGGCUCGCUAGAGUGCGGUAGAGGGUGGUGGAAUUCCCGGUGUAGCAGUGAAAUGCGUAGAGAUCGGGAGGAACAUCUGUGGCGAAGGCGGCCACCUGGACCAACACUGACACUGAGGCACGAAAGCGUGGGGAGCAAACAGGG